rnacentral:rRNA from 1 species
AUUGAACGCUGGCGGCAGGCUUAACACAUGCAAGUCGAGCGAGCGGCGGACGGGUGAGUAAUGUCUGGGAAACUGCCUGAUGGAGGGGGAUAACUACUGGAAACGGUAGCUAAUACCGCAUACCAUCAGAUGUGCCCAGAUGGGCUUAGCUAGUAGGUGGGGUAAUGGCUCACCUAGGCGACGAUCCCUAGCUGGUCUGAGAGGAUGACCAGCAACACUGGAACUGAGACACGGUCCAGACUCUGACGUGAGGCAGCAGGGGGGAAUAGUGCACAAUGGGCGCAAGCCUGAUGCAGCCAUGCGGCGUGUGUGAAGAAGGCCUUCGGGGUGUAAAGUACUUUCAGCGAGGAGGCGUUACUCGCAGAAGAAGCACCGGCGAACUCCGUGCCAGCAGCCGCGGUAAUAC